rnacentral:rRNA from 1 species
UACGGAGGGUGCAAGCGUUACUCGGAAUUACUGGGCGUAAAGCGUGAGUAGGUGGUUUCUUAAGUCUGCUGUGAAAGCCCCGGGCUCAACCUGGGAAUUGCAGUGGAUACUGGGAAGCUAGAGUGCGGUAGAGGGUAGUGGAAUUCCCGGUGUAGCGGUGAAAUGCGUAGAUAUCAGGAGGAACACCUGCGGUGUAGACGGCUUACUGGACGGUAACUGACGCUGAGGCACGAAAGCGUGGGGAGCAAACAGG